rnacentral:rRNA from 1 species
GGGUCAGUAGGUUGGUCGUGCCACCGGUACGUACUGGUCUCACUGAUUCCUCCUUCCUGAAGAACCGGAAUGCCAUUAAUUUGGUGUUGCGGGGAAACAGGACUGUUACUUUGAAAAAAUUAGAGUGUUUAAAGCAAGCUAACGCUUGAAUACAUUAGCAUGGAAUAAUGAAAUAGGACGAUCGAUCCUAUUUUGUUGGUUUCUAGGAUUGACGUAAUGGUUAAUAGGGAUAUUGGG